rnacentral:rRNA from 1 species
GACGUAGGGCGCGAGCGUUGUCCGGAUUUAUUGGGCGUAAAGGGCGCGUAGGCGGCCUGUUAAGUCGAACGUGAAAUCCCCGGGCUCAACCCGGGAACUGCGUCCGAUACUGGCAGGCUUGAAUCCGGGAGAGGGAUGUGGAAUUCCAGGUGUAGCGGUGAAAUGCGUAGAUAUCUGGAGGAACACCGGUGGCGAAGGCGGCAUCCUGGACCGGUAUUGACGCUGAGGCGCGAAAGCCAGGGGAGCAAACGGG